GCAUCGCGACCCCAGGUCAGGCGGGACUACCCG
rnacentral:rRNA from 6 species